CCUUGCUCUUUCCUUUGAAACUCUUACUUUGGGAGAAGGCAGCAGUUUUGCCAUGAGAACACUCCACAGCCCAAUGGCUAUGCUCUGUUUGGAGAUCUAUGAGGCUAGAAACUGAGGCCUCCAGUCAACAGCCGUAUCACAGUGAGCCAUCUUGGAAGCUGAUUUUGCAGUCCCAGGCAAAUCUUCAGAUUCCUUAGAUCCAAGGAGAAGGUGCCAGAACAUCAACAUGUGUGGGAGGAAAGAAGAUCUGUAAUUCUGCAGCACAAAGAGGAGAAAGUAUUUUUUUAUGUUAAUUCUAUUUUAAAC
rnacentral:lncRNA from 1 species